rnacentral:lncRNA from 1 species
UCAUCAUAUGAAGGCACGAUUCCACGCCAUAGAUUGCAUUUGCAAACUUCACGUUAUCAAAAUUGACAAGCUGAGUUCCCCUAAAAAAAGGCAAGCUGAGUAGAAUAAUCAGCCCGAACAGAUACUUACACCGAAUUUCACAACUGAAUAUUAACAGAUAUUCAUACAGAACAUGCAAAUAAAUAAGAAAAUAUCCUAUAGUCUAGAACUAUGGUUCUCAAUUAAGCUAAAAUAUAACAUAAGCCACAAUACUUGUUCAUUCACAGACUGGUUCAUCAACUGAUCCUAGCUCCUUCAGUGCACUCCCUUUUCAAAUCCUCAACUACCCAAUUACUCCUGGCUCCCUUAAUGCACUCUCUUUUCAAAUCCUCAACCGCCCUGAAAAUGAAAAUGAACAAUGUUUUAGGCAAGUGCAAGAUAAGAUGUUCUUUGAUAAAUUAUAAGAAGUGUAUCAUACAAAUGCUUUGUUUGAAUGGUUGGCAUAGUUUUUUCUACCUAAAAGCCACAAAGAUUUUGAUAACUACAGUAUCUUAAAUGUGGAUAUUGGAGCACACUCGAUGCUUGUAUGGAAACAUACUUACAUGUGAGCAAGGCCAAG